ACUCCUACGGGAGGCAGCAGUGGGGAAUUUUGGACAAUGGGCGCAAGCCUGAUCCAGCAAUGCCGCGUGCAGGAAGAAGGCCUCGGUUGUAACUAGCUUUUGUUCAGGGAAGAAAUACCUUUGGGUCGUAAUACCUCGGAGGGAGUGACGGUACCUGAAGAAUAAGCACCGGCUAACUACGUGCCAGCAGCCGCGGUAAUACGUAGGGGUGCGAGCGUUAAUCGGAAUUACUGGGCGUAAAGCGUGCGCAGGCGGCUUUGCAAGACAGAGGUGAAAUCCCCGGGGCUCAACCUGGGAACUGCCUUUGUGACUGCAAGGCUAGAGUACGGCAGAGGGGGAUGGAAUUCCGCGUGUAGCAGUGAAAUGCGUAGAUAUGCGGAGGAACACCGAUGGCGAAGGCAAUCCCCUGGGCCUGUACUGACGCUCAUGCACGAAAGCGUGGGGAGCAAACAGGAUUAGAUACCCUGGUAGGAUAGCG
rnacentral:rRNA from 1 species